CUAACUGGAAUUUUCCAAAACUCAUCGGAGAUUUAUUUGUGGUGGUGUAUAGCUUCACAGUCAAGCUCGUAGUCUCAGCGCGCUGCCCGGAAAAAGGUAAUACCCCUCCCUCUAUUUCCGUUUUAGAAGUCAUGUAGUUGGUUUGUUUCUCCUUGCUCAACUCCCUCUAUUUCCGUUUUAGAAGUCAUGUAGUUUGUUUGUUUCUCCUUGGUCGUUUCUCACUCAGUUUUGAGUUUUUACCUUUGUUGUAUGUUAAGCUUGUCUGCAAUCCUCGACUUUGAUAUAUAGUUUGUUGCUGAUCUUUUAUGAUAUUUAGCUAUUAACUUUAAGAAUGUGAAAUAUUCAUGUACUGACUCUUCUUGGUUCCUUCGAUAUUAAUCAAUAGGAAUUUAUAUAUCCAGUUGUUCUUUAGCUUUCAUUUUAAAAUAGUUUGAGAGCUGUCAUAUUGCUAAUAUAUCAAUCAUCUAUCCGAGAAGCAUUUUAGUUUGUUUUUGUUAGGAUUUGUUGCCGAGUUUUUUUUCAUGAUCUAAGUUCAUAUUUGUUCACCGAUUUGUUUCCUUGUUCAAGUUGGCUUAAAGUCUUGACCAUGUCUAACUUUGAUGAUUUUGCCUGCUCAUUGUCAAGAUUAUCAAUCUUCUUGUUUAUCAUCAGUUUAUUUGCGUAAGUGAAACUUUAUCGAUUUGAGCCGAUCUUCUAAUAUAGUUUCAUGUUUUAUUCUUUUCUAAAUUAACUCGGGUUGCUUUCAUGCUUAUGUGAUCAUUUACGCCAUUGUGGAUUUGUCCAGAAAGCUCUAAAAAUGUUUAUUGAUUUUCCUUAUUUUGGAAAUGUUUGGCAUAAUCAUUUUUCUUCAUCGUGAAUUUGUCUAUAUGAGCCGGCUAACUCUAAAUACGGAAUAUCUAUUCGACACUUCCUCCCCCCUGACAUCUUCUUUGGAGAAUAAUAUUAUCUUUUUUCAAGUCUUUAUUUGAUUAGCUAUAGAUUGACAGUGUUCCAAUAAUGUUAAUUGUCUGCCAUGUAUUUUGGAGGUUUAUCUACCUAAGUUUAAAAUUUUAUCUUUCUUAUUUUAUCCUAUUUGGUCUUAGUUUGGCAUUAAGAGAUCUAUUGAUUUUCAUAUUAAUGUUAUGGGUUUAUAUCCGGAUUUGAGAAAUCUAUUUGUGAUAUAUGGAAUGAGUGAUAACGACCAUGUAAUUGCUUUCAACUAAGUUGAUUUUAUGAGUUGCAACAACCUGCGUUUUUUCUCAUCUUUAGCCCGCAUUAUACAUAUGCUAAUCCUUAUUCUUUGUUUUCAUUGCAUGAAUUGUCAAUCCGAGUUCACUUUGGACUCAUCUCUUGCAUAUCCUUGAGUCGUUCCGAGUCAUUCUCAUAUUUGCGGUGAAAGAGAAGCUGAAACAGGCUGUAUACAUAUUGUAUACAGCAUUAUACACUCAUUAUACAACGAAUUACAGGUCAAAAACGUAGGAAUACAGGGCUGGAGCAAAAUACAUGUAUUCGGAAGCAAGAAAUACAUGAAAAGGGCUGAUAUACAUGCCGAUAUACACUGAUAUACAUCAGUGUAUACCAAAAACGGGAAUUGUGUUAAACUCCAAAAACAACAACGAAAUUGGCCCAAAAGGGGGCCCAAAUUCAAAAUUUCUCCCUUACUCGCUAAUUAUUUAAUUGUGAUUAUUUAUUGUUUGUUGUGUAACUCUAACUUUAUAAUCGUAAAUCAACUUAGUUGGAUCCCCCAAAAGACGAGCUAUUUCUCUGUGUUGUUUUGUUUCUAACAAAUCUCAUUUUAUCAAUUUUUGUAUUAUCAUUUAUAAUCUUUAAUCAAAACUUUCUUUUUUUUU
rnacentral:lncRNA from 1 species